CACUCCUGCGGCAGGCAGCAGUGGGGAAUAUUGCACAAUGGGCGCAAGCCUGAUGCAGCCAUGCCGCGUGUAUGAAGAAGGCCUUCGGGUUGUAAAGUACUUUCAGCGGGGAGGAAGGCAAUACGGUUAAUAACCGUGUUGAUUGACGUUACCCGCAGAAGAAGCACCGGCUAACUCCGUGCCAGCAGCCGCGGUAAUACGGAGGGUGCAAGCGUUAAUCGGAAUUACUGGGCGUAAAGCGCACGCAGGCGGUCUGUCAAGUCGGAUGUGAAAUCCCCGGGCUCAACCUGGGAACUGCAUUCGAAACUGGCAGGCUUGAGUCUUGUAGAGGGGGGUAGAAUUCCAGGUGUAGCGGUGAAAUGCGUAGAAAUCUGGAGGAAUACCGGUGGCGAAGGCGGCCCCCUGGACAAAGACUGACGCUCAGGUGCGAAAGCGUGGGGAGCAAACAGGAUUAGAUACCCCUGUAGUCCCAU
rnacentral:rRNA from 1 species